rnacentral:rRNA from 1 species
AGCGUAUAUUAAAGUUGUUGCAGUUAAAAAGCUCGUAGUUGAAUUUCGGGAUCAAUACGUCGGUCGUGCCUCGGUACGUACUGGCGUCAUUGAUUUCUCCCUUCUGAGGAACCUUGAUGCCAUUAACUUGGUGUCAUGGGAAAUCAGGACUGUUACUUUGAAAAAAUUAGAGUGUUUAAAGCAGGCUCACGUUUGAAUACAUUAGCAUGGAAUAAUGAAAUAGGACGUUCGACCCUAUUUUGUUGGUUUCUAGGAUCAACGUAAUGAUUAAUAGGGAUAGUUGGGGGCAUUAGUAUUCAAUUGUCAGAGGUGAAAUUCUUGGAUUUAUUGAAGACUAACUACUGCGAGAGCAUUUGCCAAGGAUGUUUUCAUUAAUCAAGAACGAAAGUUAGGGGAUCGAAGACGAUCAGAUACCGUCGUAGUCUUAACCAUAAACUAUGCCGACUAGGGAUCGGAUGAUGUUAAUUUUUUAAUGACUCAUUC